UAACUGUGCUAUAUAACUUCCCUUUAAG
rnacentral:piRNA from 1 species